rnacentral:rRNA from 1 species
GUGGGGAAUUUUGGACAAUGGGCGCAAGCCUGAUCCAGCAAUGCCGCGUUCAGGAAGAAGGCCUUCGGGUUGUAAACUGCUUUUGUUAGGGAAGAAAUCUUCUGGGCUAAUACCCCGGGAGGAUGACGGUACCUGAAGAAUAAGCACCGGCUAACUACGUGCCAGCAGCCGCGGUAAUACGUAGGGUGCGAGCGUUAAUCGGAAUUACUGGGCGUAAAGCGUGCGCAGGCGGCUUUGCAAGACAGAUGUGAAAUCCCCGGGCUCAACCUGGGAACUGCAUUUGUGACUGCAAGGCUAGAGUACGCGAGAGGGGGAUGGAAUUCCGCGUGUAGCAGUGAAAUGCGUAGAUAUGCGGAGGAACACCGAUGGCGAAGGCAAUCCCCUGGGCCUGCACUGACGCUCAUGCACGAAAGCGUGGGGAGCAAACAGGAUUAGAAUCCCCAGUAGUCC